UUUAAUGAGAUACCUGUGUUCACACUUCUUCACACACACCUGACACCUGAGAGUGGGCCUCUUCAUCAAUGGAGAAGAUAGAGCACACGACGAUAUCAACCAAUGGCAUUAACAUGCAUGUGGCUUCGAUCGGUUCAGGUUCAGUGAUCCUCUUCCUCCAUGGGUUCCCCGAUCUCUGGUACUCAUGGCGCCACCAGCUCCUCUCCUUUGCCGCCUUAGGUUACCGCGCAAUCGCUCCAGAUCUCCGAGGUUACGGCGAUUCCGACGCGCCGCAGUCUCCUGAAUCUUACACCAUCCUUCAUAUCGUUGGAGACCUCGUCGGAUUACUUGAUUCGCUCGGUGUUGACCGGGUUUUCCUCGUCGGUCACGAUUGGGGAGCAAUUGUAGCGUGGUGGCUUUGUAUGAUCAGGCCUGAUCGAGUCAAAGCGUUGGUCAACACUAGCGUUGUGUUUAAUCCGAGGAAUCCUACUGUGAAACCUGUUGAUAAGUUCAGGGCUUUGUUCGGCGACGAUUACUACAUUUGCAGGUUUCAGGAGGCUGGAGAGAUCGAAGAGGACUUUGCUCAAGUUGAUACAAAGAAGUUAAUAACCAGAUUUUUCGUUUCGCGUAACCCACGUCCACCUUGCAUUCCGAAGUCAGUUGGUUUCAGAGGUUUACCUGAUCCACCUUCUUUGCCUGCUUGGCUCACAGAACAAGAUGUCAGUUUCUACGGAGACAAGUUUGGCCAAAAAGGUUUCACCGGUGGACUAAACUACUAUCGCGCCAUGAACCUAAGCUGGGAACUAACGGCUCCGUGGGCUGGUCUACAAAUCAAGGUCCCUGUGAAAUUCAUAGUGGGCGAUCUAGACAUAACAUACAAUAUUCCCGGAACAAAGGAAUACAUACAUGGUGGUGGUCUGAAGAAGCACGUGCCGUUUCUACAAGAAGUGGUGGUAAUGGAAGGUGUAGGUCACUUCCUCCAGCAAGAGAAGCCCGACGAGGUCACUGACCAUAUCUAUGGCUUCUUCGAGAAAUUCAGAACCCGCAAAACCUCAUCCUUGUAGUAGGUCUCCGUCUGCACAAUGUCAAGUUCAAUGUUGAUUACGCUCUCGGUCAAGGUGCUUGAAUAUGGUGUGUGCAUCCGUCAGAGAUGUUGUUGUGAUACCUGUUAUUUCGCUCCAACCAAAUUGCGUAGAGGGUGGCUUGUGCAGUUAAUCUUCGGAAGCAUCAUGGAGAAGUGGAGUCAUUAAGAUCCAACCAAGCCGUGAAAGCGUCCCAAGUGUGGAAAGUGAAAGGUCUGUAGCCGAGGCGUCGAGUGACUUUGGUCCAAACUGUUUCACUGAAUUCGCAUCUCAAGAACAGGUGCUCACGAGUUUCCAGCGCAAGGCCACAAAUGCAACAGCUAGAGUCAAUUUGUAGCCCCCAUCGAACCAGUCGAGACCAUGUGGAAAGCCUAUCUUGAUGCAUCAACCAGUCAAGACCUUGUGGAUCAGUCGUUUU